rnacentral:rRNA from 1 species
GAUGAACGCUGGCGGCGUGCCUAAUACAUGCAAGUCGAGCGAACAGACGAGGAGCUUGCUCCUCUGACGUUAGCGGCGGACGGGUGAGUAACACGUGGAUAACCUACCUAUAAGACUGGGAUAACUUCGGGAAACCGGAGCUAAUACCGGAUAAUAUAUUGUACCGCAUGGUUCAAUAGUGAAAGACGGUUUUGCUGUCACUUAUAGAUGGAUCCGCGCCGCAUUAGCCAGUUGGUAAGGUAACGGCUUACCAAGGCAACGAUGCGUAGCCGACCUGAGAGGGUGAUCGGCCACACUGGAACUGAGACACGGUCCAGACUCCUACGGGAGGCAGCAGUAGGGAAUCUUCCGCAAUGGGCGAAAGCCUGACGGAGCAACGCCGCGUGAGUGAUGAAGGUCUUCGGAUCGUAAAACUCUGUUAUUAGGGAAGAACAAAUGUGUAAGUAACUAUGCACGUCUUGACGGUACCUAAUCAGAAAGCCACGGCUAACUACGUG